rnacentral:lncRNA from 1 species
CUGCUCUCAAAUCUAAACAUUUGAAAGUUAUGAAUGUAAAAAAUGUAGAAAUAUUAAAACCAGUUUGACCGAAUAGGACUUUAUAAAGGAAUUGAUCUUAAGGAUGUACUUGGGUGAGGUUAGGUAAAAAUUGAUAAAUUAAGAAUUUGAAAAUGAUACUAUAAACUGGUAGAGCAUAUUCGUUAAGGAUAAAAAUAAGCUAAAAAAAUAUUGAUAGGUCAUGGACCUCCUUUUCAAAAUAUUUGAGAUUUGAAAUAUGGCGGGAAAAGGCUGACUCGGACUUUUACCUUAUAUUUGCAUUGGUAUUAUUUGGGUCUCAAAACAAAAGAAAGAAAAUUAAGAAUCUUUUAAAAUUUUGGUAAAAUGACCUUUCAUGAGCUAUUAAGACUUAUAUGAAAAAAUAAAUGGGUGUUAUGGGGCAAAAUAUUUUACAUUGCAUUAUAGGGGAAAAACCUAAGGAGUCCAAAUAUUUGACACGAAUUCCAAAACCUCACCUAAGUACAUCCUUAAAAGAAUAGAAAAAAAUCCAAUAUGUUAUUCACACUAUAAUUAUAUACCCACACCUACUUUAUUUAGAUUAAUAAACAUUUAGAUCGAUCCUAGGUCACGAAUUAUUUACAAGUACUUAUUAAUAAGAGUCUUUACUUAUCAUUUCCUUUUACACUGUUCCACUUAUAGAAUAACAUAAAUAUUUAGGACUUAGACAUUUCUAUUUUCAUAAGAUUAGGACUUAGACAUACAUUUUGUAUUUACUUUCAUAAGAUUAUAACUUUGAUAUACAAUGAAUUAUAAUGACCUUCAUGUUUAUAUUUU